AUGAAUUUCAUAGUCUCUCUCUCUCUCUCUCUCUCUCUCUCUCUCUCUGUCUGUCUUUCUGUCUCUCUCUCUUCUGCCCUCUCUCCCUCUGUCUUUUUUCCUCUCUCUGUCUCUCUCUUUCCCUCUCUCUCUCUCUUUCUUCCUCUCUCUUUCUUCCCCCCUCUCUCUUUCUUCCUCUCUGUGUCUCUCCCUCUCUCUCUCCCUCUAUCUCUUCUUCCUCUGUCUGUUUCUCUUUAGUUUAUGGUGGAAGCUGGAAAAGGGAGGAAAAACAAAUAUUUAAAUAGUGCCUACUAAGUGGCUGCCAGUGUGCUAAUCACUUUCCAUAUCUCAUCACAGAUAGGAGGCUUUCCUUAGACUUAGAAGACAUCAGUUCAUGUGCAAAUAUGAACAAGGCAUUUAAUCUGUCUCAGUGGCCUCAGCCAGAUCUUUAAAGGAAUAACACAAUAAUAAUGCUAAUCAUAAUCAUCAUUAUAGCUAUUAUUACUACUUAUAUGUUGUUAAAGUACUUUAUAAAUGGUAUCGCAUUUGAUCAUUAUUUGAUUCUAACAACCUUGGGGAGACUGUUACCAUUUUUAUUCAUAUUUUACACAUGAAGAUACUGAGGAAGAUCAUGGUUAGGUGAUAUACUUAACUUCAUACAGCUAAUAAGAAUCCAAGGAAGACUUUAAAUUCAAGUCUCGGGAUUCCAAAUUGUGUAUUCUAUCUACUACACCAUUUAGGUGAUUUGUUGAUCUGCAUGGUUGGAGCCACUUUCCACAUGGAGAGUUGCUAAAUCAAUGAAAUCAUAGGUCUGACCCUCUCCUUCUUUUCAUUCCCAACCAAAAACAAAAGUCUAUAAUAUGAUAUGUGGCAUAACAACCAAGAAAAAUCUGGAAAUUGAGGCAGCUAGGUGACAUGCUAAAUAGAGCACCAGGUCUAGAUUUGGGAGCACUUGGGUUCAAAUCUGGUCUCAGAUACUUUCCUCACUCUGUGACCCAGGGCAAGUCACUUAGCGGUGUUUGCCUAGCCCUUACCCUUCUGUCUUAAAGUUGUUAUCAAGACAGAAAGUAAGAGUUAAAAAAAAACCUAAAGAAAUCAAUGGGCACUUGAAAAUCUCUCUGUAAAGAAAUGCUAUCUCAAUCACAAUAGAUACUGUAGAAUUUAUAAUGUUCUAGUGAAGCCGCCAUGUUGAAGUCAAUACCACAGAUUGAUAGCCCUAAUGUAAAACCAUCUCCAAUUCACUAUCAGUCAAGAGAAAAUGGUUUUACUUUGGCACCAAAUGAUGACUGAGGUUGUUAAUAGGAAGCAAUGCUUUGAAUUACUAAUUGAAAUUUGAUCUCUAUGAGAAUUACUUUGGAAGUAUAAAAAUAAAUUGUCAAUCUUGCUGUAAGUUUCCA
rnacentral:lncRNA from 1 species